rnacentral:rRNA from 1 species
UACGUUCCCGGGCCUUGUACACACCGCCCGUCACACCACGAAAGUGGGCAACACCCGAAGCCGGUGGCCUAACCGCAAGGAGGGAGCCGUCGAAGGUGGGGUUCGCGAUUGGGGUG